CGUGGGGUAGAGCAGCGGUAGCUCGGAGGCCUCAUAAGCCUCAGGUUGGCGGUUCGAUCCCGCUCCCCGCAAC
rnacentral:tRNA from 1 species